rnacentral:rRNA from 1 species
UACGUAGGGGGCAAGCGUUAUCCGGAUUUACUGGGUGUAAAGGGAGCGUAGACGGCAGUGCAAGUCUGAAGUGAAAGGCGGGGGCCCAACCCCCGGACUGCUUUGGAAACUGUGCUGCUGGAGUGCAGGAGGGGUAAGCGGAAUUCCUGGUGUAGCGGUGAAAUGCGCAGAUAUCAGGAAGAACACCGGUGGCGUAGGCGGCUUACUGGACGGCAACUGACGCUGAGGCUCGAAAGCGUGGGGAGCAAACAGG